rnacentral:rRNA from 1 species
GACGAACGCUGGCGGCGUGCCUAAUACAUGCAAGUAGAACGCUGAAGGAGGAGCUUGCUUCUCUGGAUGAGUUGCGAACGGGUGAGUAACGCGUAGGUAACCUGCCUGGUAGCGGGGGAUAACUAUUGGAAACGAUAGCUAAUACCGCAUAAUAGCAGUUGUUGCAUGACAACUGUUUGAAAGGUGCAAUUGCACCACUACCAGAUGGACCUGCGUUGUAUUAGCUAGUUGGUGGGGUAACGGCUCACCAAGGCGACGAUACAUAGCCGACCUGAGAGGGUGAUCGGCCACACUGGGACUGAGACACGGCCCAGACUCCUACGGGAGGCAGCAGUAGGGAAUCUUCGGCAAUGGACGGAAGUCUGACCGAGCAACGCCGCGUGAGUGAAGAAGGUUUUCGGAUCGUAAAGCUCUGUUGUAAGAGGAGAACGAGUGUGAGAGUGGAAAGUUCACACUGUGACGGUAUCUUACCAGAAAGGGACGGCUAACUACGUG